AGGAUUCCCUUAGUAACGGCGAGUGAAGAGGGAAUAGCCCAGCACCGAAGCCUGCGGCAUGUUUGCUGUUAGGCAGUGUGGUGUUAGGGUCGACUCGUUGAACCGUCACUUCACUCGAAGUCCAGCAUUGAGUAUGGUUUACUGGAAUUGGCCCAUAGAGGGUGAAAGGCCCGUGCGAGUGGGGUAUCAGACAUGUGAGGCGGUUUACCAGGUCGGCCUCGGAGUCGGGUUGUUUGGGAAUGCAGCCCCAAGUGGGUGGUAAACUCCAUCCAAGGCUAAAUACGGGCACGAGUCCGAUAGCGAACAAGUACCGUGAGGGAAAGUUGAAAAGUACUCUGAAGAGAGAGUAAACAGUACGUGAAACCGCAUGCAGGUAAACGGGUGGCGUCAAGCUGCAAGCCCAGAGAAUUCAGCCGGCUAGGUUGUUGUGUAUGCGCCUGUCGCAUCUAUCAGUAAUAAUUGGGUGGGUAGUCCACUAGAAGGCGGUGGGCCUGUCCGUGAGGUCAGGAUAUGUGUACCGGGUGGUGACCGGAGCAUGCUAUCUACCUGUCUGAGGACUGUCUAGCCGGUGCACUUUCUCUGUGGUUGACACCACGACCGGUGGUAUUGUCAGUCUGCCGUGUCCAAGUCGCAUAGGGUAGGUCCUCGUGAUCGACCGUGUGCGAUCACAUACAAAUGCAGUAGACGGCGUGAGGGUGUUUCGGCAUCUGUGCGUGUUAUCGGCUACUGGUUGUAAGCGGGCUAGCUCCGUGUUAGUCGUAACCGACAUGUAGCAACAUGGUCCGGUGGGACAUGGUGGUAUGAAUAACUGUGCAAGGCACCGGGGUUAUCGGCCUCGAAUGUGCAUCCCACGCUCACGUUACAAGUGGUAAGAGAUAAAGCAAGUGCUGUGUCGUUGCCAUCUGCUCGGUGCUGGGUGUGAUUGACGUGUUGCCUGCGCAAAGUAGGCUCGUCGAUGGCUUGGUUCGAGGUGGGUGGUCAGUGGCGAUGGCGACUGUGUGGGAUGUGGUGGGCCAAAUAGUCAGUGGU
rnacentral:rRNA from 1 species